rnacentral:rRNA from 1 species
GUUUUGUGGUUCAACUGAUUUGAAGAGCUUGCUCAGAUAUGACGAUGGACAUUGCAAAGAGUGGCGAACGGGUGAGUAACACGUGGGAAACCUACCUCUUAGCAGGGGAUAACAUUUGGAAACAGAUGCUAAUACCGUAUAACAAUAGCAACCGCAUGGUUGCUACUUAAAAGAUGGUUCUGCUAUCACUAAGAGAUGGUCCCGCGGUGCAUUAGUUAGUUGGUGAGGUAAUGGCUCACCAAGACUAUGAUGCAUAGCCGAGUUGAGAGACUGAUCGGCCACAAUGGGACUGAGACACGGCCCAUACUCCUACGGGAGGCAGCAGUAGGGAAUCUUCCACAAUGGGCGAAAGCCUGAUGGAGCAACGCCGCGUGUGUGAUGAAGGGUUUCGGCUCGUAAAACACUGUUGUAAGAGAAGAAUGACAUUGAGAGUAACUAUUCAAUGUGUGACGGUAUCUUACCAGAAAGGAACGGCUAAAUACGUG